GUUCCUAUCUUUGAUUCAUUCACUGUGAUAUAAUGGCUCCAAUGCCCUGUUUCUUGUUUCUUCUUCCUAAUACAUUUUGUUUUUUUUAAAAAAAAAAGCAAACUUAAAUACAAAAAGCCACUAAAAUUGCUAGCUCCAAUUAAGGUACCUGCUAUAGUUACUUGUGUUGUUCAAUUCAGCUUCUUUUUUUGUUUGAUUCAAACUUGUAUGUUAACAACAAUUCAUGCAUAUUAGAGAAAGUUCGCGCAAAGAUCGAAGCUUUCAUAGUGUUUAUUGAGGAUCUUCCCAGCAUUUACUGUUUGUGUAUAUUUAUAUCUUGAAAUAUGAAUCACAUGUGAGGGGCUAGUAACUUUCAAGUAACCCCAAGGUACCAAUUCUUUUGCAAGUGCUUCCCUUGAUCACACAGCAAAGGUGUGAGUGUGAGUCUGACGAGAUAUGGUUCUAUGUAUGCUGUUGACUGCAAUUUUAUGCUGGAUUACUCAAAGGCUUAUUGUAUGAUUAUUGGUGGUGGGGAUAAGGCUUAUAUGACUUCCAGCCUUUAAUUCUAUUGAAGACUCGCCUUGUUCUUCCCACUCCAAUUGAGUUGGAACUUGGAAUGUCAAAGGAAUCAAAUGAGGCCGCUCAUUAUAUUUUUGGCUCUUGUUCUCUAAUCAUGACUGAUAAGAACGUUAUCUCUUAAUCCUUUAAGUUCCUGAGGAUAUAUAGACCUCAUUGUCCUCAUCUUAUAAACCCUCUUCUAGAAAACACUAUAUCACUCUUUCAAACCUCGGUUCCUUUUUCUCAUACUAUUGAAUUCAAUUACUCCCUUAAAUUACAUAUUGUGCUCAUGAACCUAAACUUUCAAAUAACUUGAUACCUGCCCAUAAGCUUACAAAAGAUUAAAAUUCUAAGAUCACCGUUUUCCUGCAGACUGUCUUUCAAAAUCUUGCCUCAAGGAAGACAAGUGGAGUUGCUAAAGAUCAAGGAUAAUUGUACUAUCUUAUUGAUGAAAAAAUUGAAGAGUGUUCUGUUGAGGAGGAGCUUGUUGAGUCUUUUGGAUAGUGUUGAAAAGUCUCACAUCGACUAGAAAUAUGACCAAGAUAGCCCUUAUAUAUUGGAAGACAAUCCUCAACUCUUGACUCUCAAAGCUUCGGGUGUCUUGCCUCCGUCCAUGUCCAGAAACAGCAUCACAACAAACUUGAGUCUCUUGCAGUUAACUGUGUUUUCCUGGGUAUGAAAUUAUAGAGCUUGAAUGAGAUUAUAUGUUACAGAAAAGAAUGUUUUAGCAGAUUUUUCAGUGUGUAUCAAUGGAAGCAUAGUGUUACUUUCAUGUGUUUAUUCUUGAUUGGUAAACUGGACAAAUGCAUUCAGUUGUUGGUCAAAAGGUAAAUUUUGUAUAGGUUCCAUAUUUGUGACAGUCAACCCAUGUUUGUAUAGGCUCCACAGUAUUGAAACUUCUAAUUCAGUUCUGUUAAGUAGAAGAACUAGGACCUUUUAGUUAAAGUUAGUUGUUAGCAAGCUUUUCAUUGUGUUAGUUUUUUGUUAUUGAUUCAGGGUUUUAGUCAAAGCUAUACAGACAGAUAAAUUCUAAUCCUAUUUGCAAUCACUUAGUUCACUCAAUAAUGAAUUCAUUUCUUCAUUCUUUUCUUUAACUUCUACAUGGUAUCAGAAGUUUUUUCAUGAAGUUUCCACAUCUCUGAUUCUUUCAUCAUCUUCUACCUUUCUCGAGUUCUUUCUUUCUUGAUUCCUCGUGUUAGAUUACUCCAUCCCUUUGUUUCUUCAUCAAUCCGAUGGAUCCCAUUUCAAAUUGGUUAGUCAGCCACUCAGCGGAUCCAAUUACCACACAUGGAGUAGAGCGGUGAAGGUGUAACACAACAAAAAAGGUCCAUUUGAUAUGACUGCCUUUACGGCACCCUAGCUGCUUCCAGAGAUAUGGGGAUUGUUAUGCAUUGUUGAAUUGGAGAAAGGGGCAAAAUUUAGUGUUCCUGUGGAGUGGGGACAGUUCCUAAGUACCAAAAAAGUUGGUUCUUUGAGAUACUAUUGGCAAUAUACAAUUGCUUUUCAAAAUUUCUUGGCCAAACUAUUCUUAAAUGAUUAUUGUCUGCCUGUAAGGGUACUGACUACAGCCAAUUUUGCUUUUAGUUUUUGCAAGAGACUCUUGAAGAAUACGUCUACAAUAUAGACUUAGAAAGCGAGUUCCUGCUAAUGGCCUUUUGACUCCUAAGAUUUUUGUUUUUUAUGAUACUAUACAAUGAUAUAUUUUCAAUGUCAAUGAUGCUUUAAGAAGCCAACCCUAAGACUGAAGUUAGUUUCAUCAUCAUUUAAGCCUUUUCCCACUAUGUGGAGUAGGCUACAUGAAUCAGUUUAUCUCAUAAUGCCCAUUCAUAUAUUUAGUUCACAGAUAGAUUAUUUACCUUUAAAUCCCUAUUUAUGAUAUGGCCUAUUGUUUUCCUGGGUCACUAUCCCUAUAUUAAUUGAAGAGAUGAAUGAGUAUAGGGAGUGAGUAUUAGACCAAAGACUACGCCAUAAAAGAGGAGGCUGACUCUACUAUCCAGUAGUAUCUAAUGUAUUUUCAUAAAUGACAAUGAACAUGAAACAAAGAGGUAUACUGAUGACAUGAGAACAACAUUUUAAAAGAAAUAUUGACGAAUCACACAGGUUAAUGUUCAUGAACAACUGUCAAUUUUCCAUAUCUUUGAUGUACUUUUUCAUUCUUCCUUUGUUGUUUAUGAACCUCCAACUUUAUGCUUCUUUUUUCUUUAGUUCAAACAAUUCCUCUUUUAAUUUGUAACCUGUAUUUUACUUUGCCUUGUGUUAUGCUCUGCGGCAAGACUGAAGAGUGGCACGUUUUGCAGUCAUAGCAAAAGUAGCUAGUCCAGAAAGCCCUUUUACUCUACACAACCUGAUUAAAAGUAAAAAAAAAUACUAAGCAGGAGUUAAUGUCCUGCUGUCAGUAGAUUUAUUUAUGUGUGUACUCAUGUGACAUGGUUGCAUAAGUAGGACCUUUCUGAACUUGCACAUUCCAUGCUUUGAUCAGAAGUUUAAAUUUACACUGCCUGAUUUGCAAAUAACCUUAACAAAUGAUUCUGAGUUACUGCAUUACAUUCCAUUCAAAUAGUCAUUUUCUAGAUAGGCUUUUGGAUUCAAAUGAAAAUUCAGUACACAACAUUACACUCCACGGAUAUAACCCCUGAAACUCUGCAAAUUCUAGUACAUAGGAGAACGUUACUAUCUCAGCAUUUUUUCUUGGUUUGUCUCCUUUUGCCCACCCCAGCCUUGUCUUUUUCUUUAGAUUUAAUGUAUUUGUGUAUUUUUAUUUUGCACACUCAAUUGCAGGGAGAAAUAUGUUAUUUCUUUAUGUAUAUUCCAGAGUGACCCCUGCAGUUCCUGGUACGGUUAGUUUACUCUUUUGAAUCAUUUUAUCUCCUUUUAUUAAGGGAAAACAAAUGAAGGGGAAAUAAAAUCGAACAAUGAAAAGGGUUGUCUUAUGGACAUCUUACACAAAUGGUUCAUCAGGUUUAGUUUAUUUUAUUUUUUGUCAAGGUUUUUUAUUUGUCUUAAAUAUUCUCCAUGAGAUGUAAUUCCGUUUGAGCUGAAACGUCAUGAGAGGACUAAGUCACUUAGGAGAGUUUUUCAUUAGCAAAACUCAAACUAUAGUUAUAACCUGAUUAGGAGGAAUCAAGCACUUGUUGGUGUUGAGCACUUGUUGGUGUUGAUGUUUGAUUUGUUGUUUUUUUUUUCUUUUUGGUCCAAGAUUAUUUGUAUUUGUAAAUGCUCUACAACUCUUGGCAGGUUGUCAGUGGGCCAGAAGCAGAUAAUCACAGGGACCAGCUGCCUCAAAACGGCCUUUGUUUUUAUUUUUGUAGUUGUAAUGAAUCUCUAUAAUACAAGAGUAUAUUGUGUAGAAUAAUUGUAGCUUUGCAGAAGUAUUAAUUUUUA